GAUGAAGAACGCAGCGAAAUGCGAUAAGUAGUGUGAAUUGCAGAAUUCAGUGAAUCAUCGAAUCUUUGAACGCACAUUGCGCCCCUUGGUAUCCCGAGGGGCAUGCCUGUUCGAGCGUCAUUUCACCACUCAAGCCUGGCUUGGUGUUGGGCGACGUCCUCUUUGGGGACGCGCCUCGAAACGCUCGGCGGCGUGGCACCGGCUUUAGGCGUAGCAGAAUCUUUCGCUUUGGAAGUCGGGGCCCCGUCUGCCGGAAGACCUGCUCGCAAGGUUGACCUCGGAUCAGGCAGGGAUACCCGCUGAACUUAAGCAUAUCAUAAGCGGAGGA
rnacentral:misc_RNA from 1 species